ACUUAGAUUUGGGUGGCGGACGGGUGAGUAACGCGUAAAGAACUUGCCUCACAGAUAGGGACAACAUUUGGAAACGAAUGCUAAUACCUGAUAUUAUGAUUUUAGGGCAUCCUAAGAUUAUGAAAGCUAUAUGCGCUGUGAGAGAGCUUUGCGUCCCAUUAGCUAGUUGGAGAGGUAACGGCUCACCAAGGCGAUGAUGGGUAGCCGGCCUGAGAGGGUGAACGGCCACAAGGGGACUGAGACACGGCCCUUACUCCUACGGGAGGCAGCAGUGGGGAAUAUUGGACAAUGGACCGAGAGUCUGAUCCAGCAAUUCUGUGUGCACGAUGACGUUUUUCGGAAUGUAAAGUGCUUUCAGUUGGGAAGAAAAAAAUGACGGUACCAACAGAAGAAGUGACGGCUAAAUACGUGCCAGCAGCCGCGGUAAUACGUAUGUCACAAGCGUUAUCCGGAUUUAUUGGGCGUAAAGCGCGUCUAGGUGGUUAUGUAAGUCUGAUGUGAAAAUGCAGGGCUCAACUCUGUAUUGCGUUGGAAACUGCAUGACUAGAGUACUGGAGAGGUAAGCGGAACUACAAGUGUAGAGGUGAAAUUCGUAGAUAUUUGUAGGAAUGCCGAUGGGGAAGCCAGCUUACUGGACAGAUACUGACGCUGAAGCGCGAAAGCGUGGGUAGCAAACAGGAUUAGAUACCCUGGUAGUCCACGCCGUAAACGAUGAUUACUAGGUGUUGGGGGUCGAACCUCAGCGCCCAAGCAAACGCGAUAAGUAAUCCGCCUGGGGAGUACGUACGCAAGUAUGAAACUCAAAGGAAUUGACGGGGACCCGCACAAGCGGUGGAGCAUGUGGUUUAAUUCGACGCAACGCGAGGAACCUUACCAGCGUUUGACAUCUUAGGAAUGAGACAGAGAUGUUUCAGUGUCACUUCGGUGAAACCUAAAGACAGGUGGUGCAUGGCUGUCGUCAGCU
rnacentral:rRNA from 1 species